AUGGCUUGCCCGGCGUCCUCUGCUUCCGGUGACCUCAACCCGUUCGCCGUCCUUGAGCCACCCACCGCCGCAGCCCUCCGCCAUGUCCCAAUUCAUGACCACAUCCCCAUCACCCUCGACCUACACACUCCCUCCUUCUCCACCUGGCGUACGUAUUUCUCUCUGACGUUCCGCGAGUUCGGCAUCCGCGACCACGUCGACGGAUCAGUGGAUGCCAUGGCCAUGCAGCAUGAUGUCCACUGGCUCUCUGUGGAUGCCACCAUCGUCAAGUGGCUCUAUCGCACGGUGUCUCGCGAGAUUCUCUCGCACAUCAUCCGCGACAACGACACCGCGCUGGGCGCCUGGACCUCCAUCUGCCAGCUCUUCCUCGACAAUCGUCUCCAGCGCCAGGUACUGUUAACCACAGAGUUCUACAGUCUGACGCAGGAUGGGAUGGGGCUGUUCGACUACUGCUUGCGCCUCAAGGUCCUCGCCGACGAGCUGCGCGACGUGGGCGCGGCCGUCUCCGACGCCACCAUGCUCACGAACUCAUUCGUGGGCUGGGUCCCGACUACGCCAACGCCGCCUCCAACCUCAACCUGCUGA
rnacentral:rRNA from 1 species